rnacentral:lncRNA from 1 species
AUUGUAUUGCAAGCUGCUCUCAGUGCACAGAGACCAUCUUCACUAUGCAUAUCAGUGGGAACUUGUAAAAAGCAAAAGGUCUCUACAAGAGGGUGAAUCUCAAAAGGUUUGAUUCAGACACCACGGGAAAAAAAAAAAAAAAGUUUUUAAGUAGCUUCUUUGUUAUGAAAAUCAGUUAGAAAAUCUCAUGAGAAUAGGUUUUCUGCUUAUGAGAAUUGCAGUAUUGUCCCAGUUUUGGCUGAACUGAAAAUACCAAUAGAAUGGUCUUUUCUUAAAAUGCUUUAAUAAAUCAAUAACUGUUUUUUAUCAAAACCAACAAAAGUAAGAAGUCUGUGAAAACUCAAAAUGUUAAACAGAGAAAGAAAAUGUUUGAAAAUGGAUAACUUCACUCUGGAGCUGACUUCACAGACCUGGAAAAAUACCCAGUAGGCCUAUCUUCAAGGAGGUUAGAACCAUAUGUUUCUGUGCAUUUGUUCUUUAUCUUUUCAGCUAAACCAGAAAUGAAAGAAAAAAAUAAUAAUACAGCCCUCCAGCUCUAUUAUAGCUUUUAUCAUUUCAGAUCUUUCCCUUAAUAAUUCAAAGUAAACUAAUUACCUAAUUAAGUUAACAGGUGUCAGUCAUUCAAACAUAAAGAGCUACUUGAUAGACCUGAACUGGGGAAUUCUUUUCCUUAAGUGUCUGCACUUAAAAUUUGAAACAUAAUGGCAUUAAAACAACUGAUUGAGUUCUUUUAAAGACAUUGUAGCUUAGAUCCUUACUGGAGGCAUUCACCUGUGAGGUAAUUAGGCUUUUACCUCCCAUUACAAUACUUUGGCAAGCUUCCUGAUGAAUCCUUUAUGUGUGGUCCCUCAUGUCUAGGAGCCUACAGUAAAGAGUUGUACUGUUUGAAAGGAGGAUGAGGAGCUGCUUGUUAAAGGAAGGGGAGAAUGCUGGCCUUGCUGUUUACAUGCAGAAGAGAUGCUAGGUUCAAGGGCUGAGUACAUUCACUGGAAAGUUCCCCUACAACUCCAUAUGCUUUGGGUCAUGCUUAGAGGUGUAGAGGUCCACUGUUCCAGCUGGAAGAUGGCAUUUGUGACUGCAACCUGAAAAACAGGCAUUAGGAUUUAUUUCUGAAGCAACACAUCUGCAGCCUAACUAUGCUGUAAACUUUCAUUAAAUGCUUGAUGGAAAUCAAUGCUCAUUUAUAAAGUGAUAUUGCAGCACUACAGUUUGAUAUGACAGAACUAGUCAUGGUAAAUAAAUGAUUCAGGGAAUAUGGCUUUUUUGCUUUU